rnacentral:rRNA from 1 species
GAUGAACGCUGGCGGCGUGCCUAAUACAUGCAAGUCGAACGCACAGCGAAAGGUGCUUGCCCCUUUCAAGUGAGUGGCGAACGGGUGAGUAACACGUGGACAACCUGCCUCAAGGCUGGGGAUAACAUUUGGAACAGAUGCUAAUACCGAAUAAAACUUAGUGUCGCAUGACACAAAGUUAAAAGGCGCUUCGGCGUCACCUAGAGAUGGAUCCGCGGUGCAUUAGUUAGUUGGUGGGGUAAAGGCCUACCAAGACAAUGAUGCAUAGCCGAGUUGAGAGACUGAUCGGCCACAUUGGGACUGAGACACGGCCCAAACUCCUACGGGAGGCUGCAGUAGGGAAUCUUCCACAAUGGGCGAAAGCCUGAUGGAGCAACGCCGCGUGUGUGAUGAAGGCUUUCGGGUCGUAAAGCACUGUUGUAUGGGAAGAACAGCUAGAAUAGGAAAUGAUUUUAGUUUGACGGUACCAUACCAGAAAGGGACGGCUAAAUACGUG